rnacentral:lncRNA from 1 species
AUCUACAGAGGGGAGCAGUCCCACACAAGAUAAUGACCUGCAGCUGUAUGGGAAAGGGCAGUUGUGAUGAUUAUGAGUAGGCACCCAAGCCUUACAUACAGUGCUCUGACUUUUACCAUGUGUGGGUGGGUCUGCUUGCAAAAGACAUAAAACCCUUUUUACUCAGCCACUUGGCAGCGGUUGUACAGUCUGUGGUCAGGUCCUAUCUCAUCCACAGACAGAGUCCCAUGGCCACUGCUGCUCCCAGCUGUCCAGCUCUCCAAAACACCCAUUACCUCAUUCCCACUCCACCCUCAUGCCUCAUGACGUUGAUACUCUGCUCUCUUUCAGAUAUGCAGAUACAGCUACACCCAUGGACACUACUGCAAGAAAUGCACUUACACUGUGAGUCUGAUCCAGCUAAACCCUCUUUUUCUCCCUUCGGUAAAGGAGCAUCUACCCUGAAGGCCCAGAGAGCUGAUGCUCAGGAAAUCAAGAACACUAGAGAUGAUAGCAAUGGGAAUGAAAAUGGUACCAUAUAUAACACGUGAGGUGCAUCCGGGAAGGCAGAAAUUUCUUCCAUUCCCACACAGAUGCUGGAGCACAGCUUAAGGUGAUGAUGCUGAACUUCCUUCACUGUCAUCUACUCCUUGAACAGGAUCAUCUACAGUGAAAAAGUCUGACCUGUUGCAGCAUCCAGCAGUCUGCUUUGGGCUAGCAGGGACAUGGCUGUGCACCGAGCCCACCAGCACUAGUGACAGAAGAAAGAGUUCAGCACAGAGAAGAUAUGGGGAUGAUUUAUAUAGAAGGAGAGGAAGAUUCUCUCUGUUAAUUCUCAGAUUCUGAGCUUGCUUAUAUUAUCAGGCUUAGAGGCAUGAACUUCAGAUGUACAACCCCCUGUAUUUUUCUAAGGUUAUGGGUGGUAAUUGAAAGUCAACUUUGAUAUUCACAUUAAAAAACUGCUGCUAAUAGGGAACCGCUCUGAAAUCAGCACAGCAUGAUGCCUUUCAUACUCAGUAAUAAUGAAUGUAAGAAUGACUUGUAGCAGUCUAGUCAGUAGAAAUAAAACAUAACUUGGCUGGUCA